rnacentral:rRNA from 1 species
UUGCAACGAACCGGGAGGCUGGCUCUCAUCAAUUCGGUGGUCACUAGCACGGUGACCUUCUUUCUGACGAUCUUUGCACCUUACAGGUGGUUCAUAAAUUUUUUUGACAAACUAAGAAGAAACUUUCUGUGGAAUGCCGACGAGGAAGCUCAUGGGGGCAAAUGUUUGGUGAAUUGGAAGCGAAUCUGCGCACCCAAAGCAGUUGGAGGACUAGGCAUCAAAAACCUUUCCGCCUUCAGCACGGCCCUGCGGCUGCGCUGGCCCUGGUUUGAGUGGGACGAUAUGGAUAGACCGUGGAAG